AACGAACGCUGGCGGCGCGCCUAACACAUGCAAGUCGAACGAGAAGGCGUAGCAAUACGCUUGUAAAGUGGCGAACGGGUGAGGAACACGUGGGUAACCUACCCUCGAGUGGGGAAUAACCAACCGAAAGGUUGGCUAAUGCCGCGUACGCUUCCAUCUCUUUGGAGGUGGAAGGAAAGCUGUACCGUGGGGUACAGCGCUCAAGGAUGGGCUCACGUCCUAUCAGCUUGUUGGUAGGGAACGGCCUACCAAGGCAACGACGGGUAGCUGGUCUGAGAGGACGAUCAGCCACACUGGCACUGCGACACGGGCCAGACUCCUACGGGAGGCAGCAGUGAGGAAUAUUGCGCAAUGGGCGAAAGCCUGACGCAGCGACGCCGCGU
rnacentral:rRNA from 1 species